UACGUAGGGGGCUAGCGUUGUCCGGAAUCAUUGGGCGUAAAGCGCGUGUAGGCGGUCCGGUAAGUCCGCUGUGAAAGUCGGGGGCUCAACCCUCGAAUGCCGGUGGAUACUGUCGGGCUAGAGUGCGGAAGAGGCGAGUGGAAUUCCUGGUGUAGCGGUGAAAUGCGCAGAUAUCAGGAGGAACACCGGUGGCGAAGGCGGCAUCCUGGACCGGUAUUGACGCCUGAGGCGACGGAAAGCCAGGGGAGGCAAACGGG
rnacentral:rRNA from 1 species